UAUUAAAUAUUUUAUCUAUUUGUACUAUUAAAAACUAACGUAUCUAACAGUAUAAUAAGAGUGACACGUGACAUGCUAUGUACACCACAUGUUGAUGGAUAAAAUUAAAUUUUAAUAGUAGAAAUAAAUGAAAUUUUUAAUA
rfam:Gossypium raimondii Chr04_contig_714, whole genome shotgun sequence.